rnacentral:rRNA from 1 species
AUACGGAGGGUGCAAGCGUUAAUCGGAAUUACUGGGCGUAAAGAGUACGUAGGUGGUUUGUUAAGUCAGAUGUGAAAGCCCCGGGCUCAACCUGGGAACUGCAUUUGAAACUGGCAAACUAGAGUAUGGUAGAGGGGGGUAGAAUUUCUAGUGUAGCGGUGAAAUGCGUAGAUAUUAGAAGGAAUACCAGUGGCGAAGGCGGCCACCUGGACCAAUACUGACACUGAGGUACGAAAGCGUGGGUAGCGAACAGGAUUAGAAACCCUUGUAGUCC